rnacentral:tRNA from 1 species
AAUUGGAAAGUAAAGUAUUACAUUUAGUUUCGGCCUAAAAGUUUGGUAAAUAUUACCUUCAAUUA